AGAGAGAGAGAGAGAGAGAACAACUUUAAGCCUUAAAACAUUGCCUGUCAGCUGCAGCUAGAAGGUUGAAUACUGAGUGUCCUGGGAGGUCAGAUUGCUGUCAGACAUGGCUGGUGGACAGGAACAUGGACAUGGUCACGGUAAAGUGGAACUUCCAGAUACAGACAGUGGAAAGUUGAAGGGAUGCCAUUAGAAACAGCGCAGAAGAGGCUUGCUGCAUGAGGGCUGAGGGAUCCAUGGGCUUGCAAUGAGGCUUGGAGAUAGGCGGGAGGCUUUGCAAGCAACAUCCCCUUCACGAGUGUAUAGUAAAAGGGUUUAAAUGAGGGUUUGCUGCGUCUGUAGUAGCUUAUGUUUCUUGGCUUCCCAGAAUGAUAAGAGGCAUCACUGAAGAGAGCACCUGAGAUGUCUUUCAUGAAGAUAAGAUUCUCUCACCGUGGCAUCCUUGGCUGUUUGUCCUUGAAAGAAUAUUAGUAUGGUUUAAUAAAGUAAGGGGGAAAAAUUCCCUGUUAGUUUGUACCAGAAAAGGUAUCUGUGUGUGUUUAUCAUGCACCUUCCAGAUAUCCCUGCUUCCAGUUGAGAACUCUGAUCCUGUGUCGAGGCUGGACCCCCUACAAGGAACAAGAAAGCAGUGCGUUCUGAUCCAAGGCCCUCAAGGUGAUUUUCCGACAGCUUUUCAUCUGGAUAGCUUACCCUGGAGGAGAAGGGCUGCACCCAACGCAGAAGCACAAGGUGUACCACGUGUGUGCCUUCUGCCUGUGAAAGUCAGAAGAAGCCUUGGGAGCCCCUGAAACUCCAGUCGCAGACGGUUGGGAACUGAGCCUGGGUCCUCUGCAAAAGCAACAAGUACUCUCAAGCACCGAGCCGUCUCUCCAGCCCAGGCUUGGUGCUUUUGUCAGUCACCAGGUGUUGGGGGCCUUUGUGACCAGGACCAAUGAAAAAACCCUGGGGUCCUAGGCAACUUUGAACUUAAACACAAUCCACAUUAUCACAUCUGCCAGUACUGGAGAAGGUAACAUGCUGGCCCUCCUAGGAGAGCAAGCCUCUGGGAGGCCUGAAUGGAAUCUCCACUCCCCCCUGGGGCUGCAUGAGUCUUCUCAGAUGACUACCAUGUAUCCUUUCAUUGUAUGAAACUUAACCUGUAUGUUGUCCCUUGAAUUAUUCCAAAAAAAAUAAAAAUAAAUAAAAAUCACUGAACAUAUGGGUGGUCUGGGCGGAUCCUGAGACAAUCAUGACGAAUCAGGCUUUGUUUGCAUUAGACGUGGUAGCCAAGUGACCUUAAGGGGUCCAUCUCCAGACUCUGUUCUUAGGGCCCCUCAGCCCAGUUGCUGUCUUCCAGCCUUUCCCUCCCUUAUCCUUCACCAGGCCCUGCGCUCCCCCGGCCCAGCCAGCCACAUUUUUCAGUAUUACCAGAUCUAAUUUCCUUUGCCAUUCUCUUCACAAAAACUUCUCUCCUGAUUUAAUUACUAUUUCUUUUAAUUCACUUUUGUUCUCUCAAUUGUCGUUAAACUCCUAAAGCUGUUUUCUUAAAGAACACAGCGGCUGGCCGGCCCUGUGCUUAGAGAUUGAUGUGGUCAUUUUGCCUUCAAACACAGGAGCUUUCUGUAUCUCAACAAUUUUCUUUGGAAGGAUAAACACCAGUGGUGAGAGAAUGGAGUUGAACCUUAUAAGUAUUCCUUACACUUUCCAUGGACUGUAAUCUCAGCAUCUUGCCUGGUGGUUCGCAACCUGUGACCCCAACAGGGGUCAUCCAUGAGAUAUUCUGCAUACCAAAUAUUUACAUUACCCCUUAUAACAGUAGCAAAAUUAGUUAUGAAGUAGCAACGAAAUAAUUUUACGGUUGGAGGUCACUACAACAUGAAGAACCAUGUUAAAGGGUUUAAGUAUUAGAAAGGUUGAGAACCACUGAGCUGGGCAGAGCUGGGGAACCCCAGGGCUCUCAGGGGCGCUCUGGCCAGAAGUGGCUAUAGGACAGCAGCCAUGUGUCCGGAGAGUUUGGAUGGGAAGAGGAACAAGGCUGGCUCAGCCUCAUGUUCCGCCCACCCUAGGAGUCCAGACUGUGGCUCGAAGGAA
rnacentral:sRNA from 1 species